rnacentral:rRNA from 1 species
UUCCGGUUGAUCCUGCCGGACCCGACUGCUAUCAGAGUGGGACUAAGCCAUGCGAGUCAACAUAGCAAUAUGUGGCAUACGGCUCAGUAACACGUAGUCAACAUGCCCAGGGGACGUGGAUAACCUCGGGAAACUGAGGAUAAACCGCGAUAAGUCACUACUUCUGGAAUGGGUAAUGACUCAAAUCUACAUGGCCCCUGGAUUGGACUGCGGCCGAUCAGGCUGUUGGUGAGGUAAUGGCCCACCAAACCUGUAACCGGUACGGGCUCUGAGAGGAGGAGCCCGGAGAUGGGCACUGAGACAAGGGCCCAGGCCCUAUGGGGCGCAGCAGGCGCGAAACCUCUGCAAUAGGCGAAAGCCUGACAGGGUUACUCUGAGUGAUUUCCGUUAAGGAGAUCUUUUGGCACCUCUAAAAAUGGUGCAGAAUAAGGGGUGGGCAAGUCUGGUGUCAGCCGCCGCGGUAAUACCAGCACCCCGAGUGGUCGGGACGUUUAUUGGGCCUAAAGCAUCCGUAGCCGGUUCUACAAGUCUUCCGUUAAAUCCACCUGCUUAACAGAUGGGCUGCGGAAGAUACUAUAGAGCUAGGAGGCGGGAGAGGCAAGCGGUACUCGAUGGGUAGGGGUAAAAUCCGUUGAUCCAUUGAAGACCACCAGUGGCGAAGGCGGCUUGCCAGAACGCGCUCGACGGUGAGGGAUGAAAGCUGGGGGAGCAAACCGGAUUAGAUACCCGGGUAGUCCCAGCUGUAAACGAUGCAGACUCGGUGAUGAGUUGGCUUCUUGCCAACUCAGUGCCGCAGGGAAGCCGUUAAGUUUGCCGCCUGGGGAGUACGGUCGCAAGACUGAAACUUAAAGGGAAUUGGCGGGGGAGCA